GGGCGUCUGCAGAAACGCAGGGACCCGGAUGGAGCCGCGGGCCGCGAGACCCUGCGGGGACACAGCUCCGCCGAGUCGCGUUUGAGUGGCACCGCCAUGGCCGGGGUCCCGGCCGGGGCGAGCUCCAGGCCAAGGCCGGCCUUAAAUAGGGCCGCUCUGGCCCCUGCACCCCGUGGAGGAGCCGGGCGGAGGGAGAGGGCGAGGUCGGGCCCCUGCGGGCACGGGAGGGUCAGGCGGCCCCGGCCCCUCCCUCCUCCGCCCUGGCCAGGUCCCCACGGCAGGGCCCCAGGCUGAAUCUGAAGGCAGGCGAAGCUCUUGGCAACAGUCCCCUGUAAUGUUACCAACUUUCCUGCUCAGAUUUUAUUUCCUGACCUUUGAGUUCAUUCCGUCUACAGAUUAUUUCGGCAAGGCCGACGCCUCCCCCCAGGGUCAGCUGCGGGCUCCCAGGCCUAGGCGCCCAUGACCCCUACGCCAACAGCCGCCUGGACACCGCCGCCGCCACUGCGACCUAGCGCCGCCGCCGCCGGGGCCCAAUGCCGGUCAUGCCCAUUCCGCGGCGGGUGCGCUCCUUCCACGGCCCGCACACCACCUGCCUGCAUGCGGCCUGCGGGCCCGUGCGCGCCUCCCACCUGGCCCGCACCAAGUACA
rnacentral:lncRNA from 1 species